rnacentral:rRNA from 1 species
GAUGAACGCUGGCGGCGUGCUUAACACAUGCAAGUCGAACGGAAAGGCCCUACUUUUGUUGGGUGCUCGAGUGGCGAACGGGUGAGUAACACGUGAGUAACCUGCCCUUGACUUUGGGAUAACUUUAGGAAACUGGGGCUAAUACCGGAUAGGAGCUUCUGCUGCAUGGUGUUGGUUGGAAAGUUUCGGCGGUGGGGGCAGGUCUCGCGGGUUAUCCGCUUGUUGGUGGGGUAGUGGCUGACCAAGGGUUUGACGGGUAGGCGGCCUGAGAGGGUGACCGGGCACAUGGGGACUGAGAUAGGGACCAGAAGCGUAGGGGAGGCAAGAGGGGAGAAUAUUACACAGUGGGCAAGAGCGAGAUGCAGAGGCGGCGCGUGCGGGAAGAGCGGUUUCGGGGUAAAAACCUCUUUCGACGGAGAAGAAGCGUGAGUGACGGUAACGGGUAAAGAAGCACCGGCUAACUACGUG